rnacentral:lncRNA from 1 species
UCUGUGACAAUUUUAGUGAUUAACUAAGUGCUAAUUAUAAAUUGUCAAAAAUAUUUGUUUUAUAAAAUAGAUUUCAGAGUAGCAUGCGUGUGGAAGAAAGGAGGAGGGAAGUGUCACAUGCAAAAACAGGAUGCAACAAGUGAAGCACACAGAUAGCAUGGGAGAGAAAAUGUGAAAAGCAAUUCCUGAUUUGUGGAACCGAUUUGCAGCUGAAAUGAACCGUCCUAAGGAGGAAUGGCGUAGGGAUGCUUUUGUAUUUCCAGGAAACCAGGGCUACCAAACUGGCAGAGACUCUACUGUUCUUCAAGAGAUAUUGGACUUAGACAGAAGCGAAAGGACCUUUUUCUUUUCCUCUGACAGGACAACUGGAUCGGUGAAUGAAGGUGGCAAAGUACUGAAGAACAGGAUUGACCUUCAACCAAAUAUUUAAGAAUAUAUGCAGACCGUGAUGUGCUCCAAGCUGCAUGAUUCAAUGGGAAGGAAGCACACCACUAUAGGAGGUCAUCAAGAAAGUAAGAUAAAACAGCACUCUGAAAGGAACAGCAGCAGGACAUCACUGAAAAUAUUAUCAAAGAAAGAAAACGGUUUUCUUAAAGGGCAGCACUCUCCAUGGCAGAGGUAAUAUAUUUGUAUUGCAACACUUCUAGGACAUACAUGAUUUUCGAUAGAAUAUCAUGGCAUUCAGAUAAAAUACCACGCACAAAAGGAAUUUCUGCAAGCUACUGUCUGUUUCCAGAAAUUGUCUGAAUUCUGUGUCUGCCACAAUAGAAGACUUGUGCAGUCUAAAAUGAAAAAAUUCUCCAGCAUCCUCACCUAAUAAAAAUAUUUCUGGAAACA